CAUGUAGCUUGGAUGGUUGGUUAGAGCAUGGUGCUGAUAACGCCAAGCUUGCAGGUUCGACAGCUGCAUAUUCAUUCCUGCACUGCAGGG